rnacentral:rRNA from 1 species
CCAGACUCCUACGGGAGGCAGCAGUGGGGAAUAUUGCACAAUGGGGGAAACCCUGAUGCAGCGACGCCGCGUGAGUGAAGAAGCGUUUCGGCGCGUAAAGCCCUGUCAGCGGGGAAGAAGAAAGACGGUACCCGACCAAGAAGCCCCGGCUAACUACGUGCCAGCAGCCGCGGUAAUACGUAGGGGGCAAGCGUUAUCCGGAUUUACUGGGUGUAAAGGGAGCGUAGACGGCAAGGCAAGCCAGAAGUGAAAGGGCAGGGCUCAACCCUGUACAUGCUUUUGGAACUGUGGUGCUAGAGUGCAGGAGAGGUAAGUGGAAUUCCUAGUGUAGCGGUGAAAUGCGUAGAUAUUAGGAGGAACACCAGUGGCGAAGGCGGCUUACUGGACUGUAACUGACGUUGAGGCUCGAAAGCGUGGGGAGCAAACAGGAUUAGAUACCCCCGUAU